rnacentral:lncRNA from 1 species
GGUGGAAGUGCAUUGACAGAGAACAGGAAUGAGGCCUGCAUGGUGUGGACCGUCCAGGCAGGGAUGCUGCAGAAGCUACUGGAGCACCUGGUGCCCGCCUUCCUGGGCAGCAGCCCCACCUACGUCCCCACCCUUCUGGGCACCUGCAGAGCUUUUGCCACCACCCGACAGGUACUGGUCCUGCUGUUUAAAAGGACCAUUUCUUCCAUUCUGGGCACCUGGCUGGACCAGUACUCUGAGGGUUUUUUCAGGCCCCAGAAUCUCCCCACCUGAAGAUUUUGUUGCCCUACAUGGGGCUCAACAUGCAGGCUCGGGACCUGGAGUGCCAGGCCAACCUUCUCUUGGCACAGCUCAAGCACCAUGCGUCCACUGAGGCAGAGACUGAGGCGCCAGCUCCAGAGCAGGAUCCAGAACCACCUCAAGAGCUAACACGGGCUCCAACUCCAGUGCCCGCUGCAGCUCAGAGCCACAGAUCCAGAUUCAGAGCCAGAGCAGACUCAAGCCUGCUUGACAGCUGUCAUUCAAGUUCAAGAGCAGGAACAACCACCUGUGUCAUCGCAGCAACUGGUCUCAGCUCCUGAGCUGGAGCACCAGAGAAUUCCUUCCUCUCUCUUAUUAUUGCAUUUUAAAAAUUUUGGUUUUCAUCUUACAUAGACUUAACGGUUUCCUAUAUUUCAUCUUAUAAUAUUGACUAAAAUAAAUUUUAACUAUUUGAUCCUUUUAAAUUGUAC